CCCCUCCUCCUCAGCUCCAGCCAGCCCACAGAGCACCGUGUCUUCACCCAGUCUAAGAACCUCUUCACCCCUGGUGGUGUCAGAGUCGGGAGCAAACGCUGCCAAAAACAGACUGUCACCUAUCUCUGAGGAGAAAAAGCCUACAGUUACAGUCGGCCGUUUC